ACUCAGCCACAGAAUUGCUUUUCCACUACGGUCAGCCUGUUGCCUUACACCCCUCAAGCGCUCUUCAGAUUCCCAGGGCUGAAUCUGAAGUAAAGGGACAAGACUGGGACUUAGCCUUCACUAUUGACUACCCACGUGCUCUUGGGCCUCAGCUACCCUGUCUGUGCAAUGGGUCUGAUAGUGUCUGCCUGUCAUAUAGGGUUGUUGAGAGGCUCAAAUCAGCAGUAGAUCCCGAACAAAAAUAUAAUGAUGAAAUCUAAGCCCAGGAUCCCAGAGGAAAGAGAAGAGGAACUCCAGGCCAGCCUACGAUGUACUCAUCUACUGUUUCUCACAGAACCCUU